rnacentral:tRNA from 1 species
GGGCCCAUAGCUCAGCUGGUUAGAGCGCACGCCUGAUAAGCGUGAGGCCGGUGGUUCAAGUCCACUUGGGCCCACCA